rnacentral:rRNA from 1 species
CCCUUAGAUGUUCUGGGCCGCACGCGCGCUACACUGACUACUUCAACGAGUUGUUUCCUUGAUCGAAAGGUCUGGGUAAUCUUUGAAAGGUAGUCGUGAUGGGGAUAGAUCCUUGCAAUUUUUGAUCUUCAACGAGGAAUUCCUAGUAAACGCAAGUCAUCAGCUUGCAUUGAUUACGUCCCUGCCCUUUGUACACACCGCCCGUCGCACCUACCGAUUGAAUGGUCCGGUGAAUCUUUAGGACUGCGCGCGGCCUCGUGCCGUGUCGCGGAAAGUCAGGUAAACCUUAUCACUUAGAGGAAGGAGAAGUCGUAACA